rnacentral:rRNA from 1 species
AGUGAACGCUGGCGGUAGGCCUAACACAUGCAAGUCGAACGGCAGCACAGUAAGAGCUUGCUCUUACGGGUGGCGAGUGGCGGACGGGUGAGGGAUACAUCGGAAUCUACUUUUUCGUGGGGGAUAACGUAGGGAAACUUACGCUAAUACCGCAUACGACCUACGGGUGAAAGCAGGGGAUCUUCGGACCUUGCGCGAUUGAAUGAGCCGAUGUCGGAUUAGCUAGUUGGCGGGGUAAAGGCCCACCAAGGCGACGAUCCGUAGCUGGUCUGAGAGGAUGAUCAGCCACACUGGAACUGAGACACGGUCCAGACUCCCACGGGAGGCAGCAGUGGGGAAUAUUGGACAAUGGGCGCAAGCCUGAUCCAGCCAUACCGCGUGGGUGAAGAAGGCCUUCGGGUUGUAAAGCCCUUUUGUUGGGAAAGAAAAGCAGCAGGUUAAUACCCCGCUGUUCUGACGGUACCCAAAGAAUAAGCACCGGCUAACUUCGUG